rnacentral:rRNA from 1 species
UGGGAAUUUUGGACAAUGGGCGAAAGCCUGAUCCAGCAAUGCCGCGUGUGUGAAGAAGGCCUUCGGGUUGUAAAGCACUUUUGUCCGGAAGGAAAUCCUUGGCUCUAAUACAGUCGGGGGAUGACGGUACCGGAAGAAUAAGCACCGGCUAACUACGUGCCAGCAGCCGCGGUAAUACGUAGGGUGCAAGCGUUAAUCGGAAUUACUGGGCGUAAAGCGUGCGCAGGCGGUUUGCUAAGACCGAUGUGAAAUCCCCGGGCUCAACCUGGGAACUGCAUUGGUGACUGGCAGGCUAGAGUAUGGCAGAGGGGGGUAGAAUUCCACGUNUGAGCAGUGAAAUGCGUAGAGAUGUGGAGGAAUACCGAUGGCGAAGGCAGCCCCCUGGGCAAUACUGACGCUCAUGCACGAAAGCGUGGGGAGCAAACAGGAUUNGAUACCCUGGUAGUCCACGCCCUAAACGAUGUCACUAGUUGUUGGGGAUCAUUUCCUUAGUAACGUAGCUAACGCGUGAAGUUGACCGCCU